rnacentral:sRNA from 1 species
GUUGCAGAAACACAGACUAAAGAUGCCACGUCCUGCGGCACGUCUGCAUGACCUGCAUCCUGCAGG